rnacentral:rRNA from 1 species
UACAGAGGGUGCUAGCGUUGUUCGGAAUCAUUGGGCGUAAAGGGCGUGUAGGCGGUUUGUUAAGUCAUGUGUGAAAUCCCUCGGCUCAACCGGGGAACGACGCAUGAAACUGGCAAGCUAGAGUACCAAAGAGGGGGGUGGAAUUCCCGGUGUAGCGGUGAAAUUCGUAGAUAUCAAGCGGAACACCGGUGGCGAAGGCGGCCUUCUGGACGAUGACUGACGCUGAGACGCGAAAGCGUGGGGAGCAAACAGG